CCCUUAGAUGUCCUGGGCCGCACGCGCGCUACACUGAUGCAUGCAACGAGUUUAUAACCUUGGCCUGAAAGGUCUGGGUAAUCUUUUGAACGUGCAUCGUGAUAGGGAUAGAUUAUUGCAAUUGUUAAUCUUGAACGAGGAAUUCCUAGUAAACGCGAGUCAUCAGCUCGCAUUGAUUACGUCCCUGCCCUUUGUACACACCGCCCGUCGCUCCUACCGAUUGAGCGAUCCGGUGAAUGUUUUGGACUGGCGUCAGAAGCGGUUCGCUCCUGACACUACGAAAUUUUGUAAACCUUAUCGCUUAGAGGAAGGAAAAGUCGUAACA
rnacentral:rRNA from 1 species